UCCUGAUGGCUCACAUGAAGUUUCGUGCCGUUCCGACCUCGUUUGAUACGGUUAUGGUUAACCACACGGCCCCUCGGGCCCGACCCGAGCCCAGUCAACGUUUUGACCCGAUCAAAUCGGCCCGUGACCCGAAACGACCCUACUUGGGCCCUACAACAGCCACGUAAAGUUUCGGGAUGAUCCGACGUUCUUUCAUGGGGUUACGGACAAUCCACGCCAAACAAGCGUCACGGGCCGACCGAGCCGGGCCAACGGGCCCUCGGGACCCGAAAACUGAAUUUUUUUUCAUCCAAACCCAUUAAAACACGUUACCGAGGUCUCACGCAAAAUUUCAUGCCAAUCCGACGUCGUUUGAUGGGGUUUUGAGAUAUUAUGAUUCCUCAAAAAUUUAAUGUCUGUUCCUGUCACUUAGCUUUUUGUGCAAAAUGUAUAUAUAGGGGAGGGGUGGGUGUUGAGCAGCCCAUGCCCGGGCAAGGCAUGCCAGCGCCCAAGCCAAAGGAGGCUGGUGGCGUGCGUAUAACAGCUCAAAUGCCCCAACGAUGACCGAGAACAAGCGCCCAUCUCCCCUCCUUCCCCCCCACCAAGCGCCCCUCCCCCCCCAUGUUGCCUGCCCACUCGCACAGCUACUCGUGAUUUCAUGCCCAGCGACUAGUGAAUGUGCCUCGACGACCAGCAAACCUCGAAAAUUAUGAUUCCUCGUAAAAUUAAUGUCUGUUCCUGUCACUUUACUUUUUGUGCAAAAUGUAUAUAUAGGGGAGACCAGGGGCUUGAGCAACCCCUGUGCCCAAGCAAGGGUCAGAUGGUAGCACACGAGACGCGAGGUUUAAAGCCUAUACAAGCAAGGCGUCUGUCUCCCCAAGCCCCAUUGCCUAUAAAACAAGCCCGAUGCCUUGUAAAUGCCCCACACGAUGCCUAUAAACGACAACGAUGUUUGCUAGUUAAUCGAUCGACGCCCCACACCUUGCAGCAUGUUGCCUAGUAAACAAGCCAUGCUGCCUUGGAAGCGCCCCACAUCAUGGCAUGUUGCCUAGCACGCUGCCCUUGUUUCCAGCACGGCGACCUGAAAGCGUGGCCUGACGACGUGCUUGCCUUCGAAAAUUAUGAUUCCUCAAAAAAUUAAUGUCUGUUCCUGUCACUUUACUUUUUGU
rnacentral:rRNA from 1 species